CUUAUUAAUUUGAUACCCCUAUAGUUGUUGCAGCACUGGAUGUCCCCUUUGUUCUUGUACAAGGGCACCACUUUACUCCACCUCCACUCAUCCGGCAUCCUUUUGGUCCUGAAGAUCGCAUUGAACAACCUGGAGAGCCACUCCACUCCUGACCUACCCAUGCACUUCGAGAACUCCAUCGCAAUCUCGUCAGGCCCGAUCGCUCGACCCCUACUCAUCUUACGCAAAGCCCAGAUGACCUUAUCCGCCCUAAUGUGCCUGCAGUACCAAGGUCUCUAUGUCUACAAACUUAUAUAAAGAAAUAAAUAGAAGCAUAAAACGGGGAAAAUGGGGUGGUAACUCACGUGAGGACGGGUCGGUCGUCACAGUCAACUACCCUCUCAUGAACAAUAGGCUUAUCUGAUAUGGCAAAAAAGAGGUCCAUGUUAGGAGAAUCCUAGAAAUUAAGUUCCGACUCUAAGGAACUAGAGAGGUCAACUUUUGAUUUCUUUGGAGUGGAGGAGACAUGGGGUUCUUCAUGUGUCUUUUACAAGGGCCUUUUGUCCUAAGGGUUGAGAAUGAAUCGGAGAAAUCCGCCUGAAAAAAGGCAAAUCCCUUAGAGUGUUCGGACCCUAGGUCUACCUGUUCAGGGGGUUUUCCCUUGGAGCGGAUGCUCUUUCUAGUUGAGGCAGAAUGGGUUUUGGAUUGUUUAUCCAUUGCAUGAUGUUGGUGGUGGAGCAAGAUUUCAGAGAAAGGGUAUGAGGGCAAUACUUGGUUAUGCUAGUCUAAAUCAAUUAAACAAAUUAGUCUCCAAG
rnacentral:lncRNA from 1 species